AGUGAACGCUGGCGGUAGGCCUAACACAUGCAAGUCGAACGGCAGCACAGUAAGAGCUUGCUCUUACGGGUGGCGAGUGGCGGACGGGUGAGGAAUACAUCGGAAUCUACUUUUUCGUGGGGGAUAACGUAGGGAAACUUACGCUAAUACCGCAUACGACCUACGGGUGAAAGCAGGGGAUCUUCGGACCUUGCGCGAUUGAAUGCGCCGAUGUCGGAUUAGCUAGUUGGCGGGGUAAAGGCCCACCAAGGCGACGAUCCGUAGCUGGUCUGAGAGGAUGGUCAGCCACACUGGAACUGAGCCACGGUCCAGACGCCUACGGGAGGCAGCAGUGGGGAAUGUUGGGCAGUGGGCGCAAGCCUGAUCCAGCCAUACCGCGUGGGUGAAGAAGGCCUUCGGGUUGUAAAGCCGGUUUGUUGGGAAAGAAAAGCAGCAGGUUAAUACGACGCUGUUCUGACGGUACCCAAAGAAUAAGCACCGGCUAACUUCGUG
rnacentral:rRNA from 1 species